UGCCAUGCUCUUGCAGUCUGAAUGUGUCACAGCUGCUGUUGUGCAGUGACCACUCGCACCUGAUCAUCAUCCUCCUGAUCUCCAGCUGCUGCCAUAUAAGGACGGAACUCUCCCUGCACGGCGUCAGAUUGUUGUGAAACCCUCAGCGCGAUCCCGCUCCUGUCCUUGACCCUCUCUGUUGGAUAAGGACCUCCUGGCUUUGACCCCCCCGGCCUGUCUGACCGGAUCCCCGUUUCGAUCUGGACUCUGGACCCGCGGGCUCGGAUCCCCUGUUUGCCCGGCCCGAAGAUCAGGGGCCGCCUGAUCCUGAUUUGAUUCCCUGGUUCUGACCCUGGCCUGUCUGACUAAGAGUUUGUCGACCUCCUAAUAAAUACCUGGUUGUAUUUUCUGUUCAGUCCCUGUGUCCAUCAGUGCCUGAGCCUGACAGAACAAUCUGACCAAGUAAACUCAUGGACCCGACUGAACAGCAACCCCCCGCCGCCCUGAGGGACGUCAUAAGCCGACAAGGAGUCGUGCUAGGGCAAAGCGUUCAUCGCCUCGCUGGGCUAGAAGCGGCCAGCCAAUCUCUCCAUCAGGAAAUCGCCCAGUUGGCCUCACAGGUAGAAAA